rnacentral:rRNA from 1 species
UACGUAGGGGGCUAGCGUUGUCCGGAAUCAUUGGGCGUAAAGCGCGCGUAGGCGGCCCGGUAAGUCCGCUGUAAAAGUCAAAGGCUCAACCUUUGAAUGUCAGUGGAUACUGCCGGGCUAGAGUCCGGAAGAGGGGAGUGGAACUCCUGGUGUAGCGGUGGAAUGCGCAGAUAUCAGGAAGAACACCGACGGCGAAGGCAGCUCGCUGGGACGGUACUGACGCUGAGGCGCGAAAGCGUGGGGAGCGAACAGG